AGUGAACGCUGGCGGUAGGCCUAACACAUGCAAGUCGAACGGCAGCACAGUAAGAGCUUGCUCUUACGGGUGGCGAGUGGCGGACGGGUGAGGAAUACAUCGGAAUCUACUUUUUCGUGGGGGAUAACGUAGGGAAACUUACGCUAAUACCGCAUACGACCUACGGGUGAAAGCAGGGGAUCUUCGGACCUUGCGCGACUGAAUGAGCCGAUGUCGGAUUAGCUAGUAGGCGGGGUAAAGGCCCACCAAGGCAACGAUCCGGUGCUGGUCUGAGAGGAUGAUCAGCCACACUGGAACUGAGACACGGUCCAGACUCCUACGGGAGGCAGCAGUGGGGAAUAUUGGACAAUGGGCGCAAGCCUGAUCCAGCCAUGCCGCGUGUGUGAAGAAGGCCUUCGGGUUGUAAAGCCCUUUUGUUGGGAAAGAAAAGCAGCAGGUUAAUACCCCGCUGUUCUGACGGUACCCAAAGAAUAAGCACCGGCUAACUUCGUG
rnacentral:rRNA from 1 species